UCACUGGCUUAGGUAUCUUGUUCUGCUGAACAAGUGCAGUGGAUACUGGUUUGUAGUGUGAAAUAGGGAGCCUAAGGUUUCCCACUGCUAGAGAAAAAAUGCGAAGGUUCCUCUCCACUAAGUGUGUCUUGACCAAAAUGGCUGAGUAAAUACUAAGCUUAAACAGAUAUAGCUGCUGUCUAAUAUCAGAACGAAGACUCCACUCGAACUUUAUUGCCUUUCUGCCUUCAUCCAUCAUGCUCUUAAAGGGAAUACCAGCCCAACUCUAUGAACUUUCGAGUAUACUCUGACACAGUCAUAUCACCUUAGCCUAGUGUAUAAAUUCCAUUUUUUUUAGAUGUUGGAGAUGUUUUGGGAGGUACUCUGCAUUGAAGGCCAUCAAAAAUUAUUUCCAAGUGAUUGAAACGGGC
rnacentral:lncRNA from 1 species